AGGUUUGAAAGGGUGUUGUUUUUUUUUUUUUCAAAGUUUGAUGCUGCCUCUCAUGCCCUAAAAAUGUUACUCAAGGCAAUGUUCAGUGAAUGUGACAUUGCCGGAUUUGAUGGCUUUUAGAACUGUUGAUGGUAAUUUCUAAUGGUGGAGCCAGUUGGCAACUUCUGCUACUUCCCUUUUAUUGUUGUGUAUGGUGAAAAUUGAUUCUGGCUAUCUUAAUUGGCUUUUUAAAGCCAGAAAGCCUUCCUUCUUAGCUUCUUGUUAUUGGAUUUCAUCGUAGUUAGUGACUUGUGCUGCUAGUUCAUAUUUGGUGAUAUUGAUUUUAUGGUAGAUAAAUCUUU
rnacentral:misc_RNA from 1 species